rnacentral:lncRNA from 1 species
AUGCUGGAGCGGAUCCAAAUUUGCUUUCCUGAGGAAAAGUCUGCCUUUGCCUACAGCACGCACACACGGCUGGAGGACGGCUCCCACCCCUGUCCUCCCAAGACCUGCAUUCCAGUCCAAAGGGUUCCCUCACAGACCCACUAGUGUCCCUCCAGCACCUGCCAUGUGCCAAGAACACAGCAGGGGACAAAACAACGUCCUUCACCCACCCACGGAGCCAACGGUUCAGAGGAAGAAACAGACCAUAAGCCAGUACGUCAGUCUGCACGGCGUCGGGUGGUGUUGAGGACAGGUGACAACGGGGAGGGUGACAGAGGUGACCCCGUGGCCAUUUUGCAUGGCAUGUGAGGGAGGGCUGGCGGGUUGGGUGACUUGUGGCCCAGAGCUGAAUGAGGAAGGGGACGGAGCCUGGCAGGGAUCUCCCAGAAGGUCCUUCCAGGCAGAGGGACUGUCAGUGCAAACGUCCGGUGUUGGGCACUUUCUUGGCCUUUUGGGGGAACAUCAAAGAGGCCACUUAGCUCCUUUUAAAAAAAGACUAUUUUUUAGAGCACUUUUGGGUUCACAGCAAAACUGAGAAAAAUGUACAGAGAUUUCCCAUAUACCUCCUGCUCCCACAUGCACACAGGCUCUCCCACUGUCGACCUCCCUCCACAGACUGGCACAUUUGCUACAAUCAAUAAACCUGCAUUGACACAUCAUUAUGACCCCAAGUCUAUAGUUGACAGUAGGGUUCGCACUUGGUGGUGUACAUUCUAUGGGUUUGGGCAAAUGCGCAGUGACACGCUUCUACCACUAUCGUAUCAUGCAGAGGACUUUCACUGCCCUCAAAUCUUCCAUGCCUCACCUAUUCAUCCCUCCCUCCCUGCAGUCCCUGGGAACCCCUGAUCUUUUUACUGGUACCAUAGUUUUACCUUUUCCAGAACGUUCUAGUUACA